GUCAAGACCUUACUCCACAUUUGAUGGUGCCAUGUCCUCAAUUUCUUCCACCAACUCUGAGUCUGCUUGAGAUCACAUCCUUCCUGCCAACUUGAUUUCGAGAAGAAGGAAAUGCAAAGUCACUUUUGCUUGGCCUGGGGUACAUCACCAGCCUCUAAGCUCCAGGAAGACUGGGCCAGCAUCAUUCUGUUCCCUACAGUGUCCCCUGAACCUGGCAUCCUCAGGUGAUCCAUAAAUGUUUGCUGAGUAGAGAUUAAUCACGGACUUCAUUUUAAGCCAGCGGCCUUGCUAGGCAUGCCAUGGUCCCAGAACAACCAGCCCACACACUUGGAUACUGUACUGUGCAAUCCACAAAUCCAGCAAACCUGAAGAACAUCCAGAAAAGGUAGCGUGAUGUAGUGGAAUGAGCCUGGAAGCAGACACAGGUGCCCUGGCAUCCAUCCCUGGCCUGCCAUUAAUCAGCUGUGUAACUGCAGGCCCCUUAGUUCACCUCUCUGGACUUGGUUUUUGUCAUCUGCAAAAGGAAGGCUUGGCCUGCAUGGUCACUAAGGUCCUUGCACUCUGAGAUGGUAAUUCUCUGUCUUUAGUGAUGUUGAGAAUAAAUGUGCUGCACUGGCUUUAGAAGAAAGCAGCAAAUCAACGGUUAAAUGUAUAUUGCAUCCCUUCUUCAAAACAUAGCCACGGUAUCAGACCAAGACCAAUUAAGCUGUUUUAUAGUAAAAAGAGAUUAUGCUAAUAAUGCUUACCUGGCUCAGCCCCAAAUCAUCCAUCAAUAUUCUGCUUUGCUCCAACUCACUGUCAUGAUGUUGAUGCAGAAAUAAGCUUGAUAGAGGAGCCGAUGCAGAGCAAAUUAUGCGCACCUGAAAUAGAGGAAAAUGAAGAACUGGUGUUUGUUACUUCUUACAUACAUCAUUUCACAAGCUGAAGGAACCACUUGCCAAUGCCUCUCCACUGCUUUCUUCUUGAAGCAUUAGCCCUCUAGAAAAGAGUGCCCAUUUCCCGCCUCACUCCCUUCACUCUGCACCCCACACAGUGAUUGCAAAGCAGUCUUUGGAUGAGCGACUACAGAAGGUGACCACUGAGGACUGAUGGGACUUGGUCCCCUAGCUCAGCGUUCUCAGCCCCCUGCCUCUCCUGCCUCCCAGAUCACGCGUGGGCUGGCCCGUUGGGAGCAGGCAGCAGACUUUGAUGUCACUCCCUACGGCACGCUCGCCCCUCAGCCACUGCACCACAGCCACGCUCAGGCCCAUCACAGGGCCCUGCUGCAGACUCCCUGCCUGCCCGGUUACGCUGUGUACCCUGCAUGUGGAGUUCGACCAUCACUGCUCUCCGCGUUUAUAAGAAGCACCUGAGGCACUUGGGAAAACGCCGGUUCCAGACCCCACUCUGGUCCUUUUGCUGAAGGGGUGAGAGGGGUGGGCCCUGGGAUCCAGAUCUUAAGCAGCCCAGAGGAUUCUGAUGCCGGUGAUCCUCAGCGGGACUUCCUGGACGCACCCCCUUCCAAUGGAUCAGUCAGUCCUGCCCCACUGGAGUCUCACAGCGCCACACUCCUCUCUCCUUCCUCCACAGCGAUGAUAUUGCAUUUGGUUCCAUGGACAUAAGAUCAAUAUUUCUCUGACACUAUGUGGACUAUAAGCUCCAUGAAGGCAGGUACCAUGUCUUGACAUUGAAUUUCUAGCACAUAGCACUACACUUGGCAUAAUAAAGGUUGUUGAAUGAAUGAAUAAAUGGAAUAUUAAAAUCUCAUCUCUCUACCUAGCAGAUUCUGUUACUCCCUCAGAAGUUCCC